rnacentral:rRNA from 1 species
AUUGAACGCUGGCGGCAGGCCUAACACAUGCAAGCCGAACGGUAACAGGAAACAGCUUGCUGUUUCGCUGACGAGUGGCGGACGGGUGAGUAAUGUCUGUGAAACUGCCUGAUGGAGGGGGAUAACUACUGGAAACGGUAGCUAAUACCGCAUAACGUCGCAAGACCAAAGAGGGGGACCUUCGGGCCUCUUGCCAUCGGAUGUGCCCAGGUGGGAUUAGCUAGUAGGUGGGGUAACGGCUCACCUAGGCGACGAUCCCUAGCUGGUCUGAGAGGAUGACCAGCCACACUGGAACUGAGACACGGUCCAGACUCCUACGGGAGGCAGCAGUGGGGAAUAUUGCACAAUGGGCGCAAGCCUGAUGCAGCCAUGCCGCGUGUAUGAAGAAGGCCUUCGGGUUGUAAAGUACUUUCAGCGGGGAGGAAGGGAGUAAAGUUAAUACCUUUACUCAUUGACGUUACCCGCAGAAGAAGCACCGGCUAACUCCGUG